rnacentral:rRNA from 1 species
CAGCCGCCGCGGUAAAACGAAGGGGGCUAGCGUUGCUCGGAAUGACUGGGCGUAAAGGGCACGUAGGCGGAUGGUACAGUCAGGCGUGAAAUUCCUGGGCUCAACCUGGGGACUGCGUUUGAUACGUAUUGUCUAGAGUUUGGAAGAGGGUCGUGGAAUUCCCAGUGUAGAGGUGAAAUUCGUAGAUAUUGGGAAGAACACCGGUGGCGAAGGCGGCGACCUGGUCCUUGACUGACGCUGAGGCGCGAAAGCGUGGGGAGCAAACAGGAUUAGAUACCCCCGUAGUCCCUGUCUCUUAUAC